AUACUAAACCAGAGCAGAAUCUUGAUUGAAGAAAGAGAGAAAAUCAGAAACAGGAGUAAUGAACUCCAAGAUAGUUUAACAGCUGUUACAGAGCUGAAAAACCAUCGCAUCUACAACUUAACCACAGAAAAAGAUGAGUUACUUACAAACAACAGCAAUCUGCUAGAGGAGAAAAAACAAUGUCUAUUGAAUACCCGAAGUCUGUCAGAAGAAAAAGAUCAGUUAAUGAAUGAAACAAAAGAAUUGAACAUAUGGCUUACUGAACAAGAUCGGCGCUCUGAUAACUUUAAAUGGAUUUACUACAACUUCAGUUUUUAUUACAUUUCAUCUGAAUAUAAGAGCUGGAGUGACAGCAGACGAGACUGUAAACAGAGAGGAGCAA